GCCUAGCCGUAAACUUAAAUUACACCCGCAUCGCCUGAGAACUACGAGCAAAGCUUAAAACUCAAAGGACUUGACGGUACCCCAUAUCCCCCUAGAGGAGCCUGUCCUAUAAUCGAUAACCCCCGUUUAACCUCACCAUUUUUAGCCAAUCAGCCUGUAUACCUCCGUCGUCAGCUUACCACGUGAGCGAAACUCAGUGAGCUUAAUGCCUUUACACCAAUACGUCAGGUCAAGGUGCAGCAAAUGAAAUGGGAAGAGAUGGGCUACACUUUCUAACAUAGAAAACACGAAAGACUUUAUGAAAUCUAGUCGGAAGGCGGAUUUAGCAGUAAAAAGAAAUCAGAAUAUUCUUUUUAACACGGCACUGGGGUGUGU
rnacentral:rRNA from 1 species